AUUGAACGCUGGCGGCAGGCCUAACACAUGCAUGUCGAGCGGAUGAGAGGAGCUUGCUUCUCGAUUCAGCGGCGGACGGGUGAGUAAUGCCUAGGAAUCUGCCUGGUAGUGGGGGACAACGUUUCGAAAGGAACGCUAAUACCGCAUACGUCCUACGGGAGAAAGCAGGGGACCUUCGGGCCUUGCGCUAUCAGAUGAGCCUAGGUCGGAUUAGCUAGUUGGUGAGGUAAUGGCUCACCAAGGCGACGAUCCGUAACUGGUCUGAGAGGAUGAUCAGUCACACUGGAACUGAGACACGGUCCAGACCCCUACGGGAGGCAGCAGUGGGGAAUAUUGGACAAUGGGCGAAAGCCUGAUCCAGCCAUGCCGCGUGUGUGAAGAAGGUCUUCGGAUUGUAAAGCACUUUAAGUUGGGAGGAAGGGUUGUAGAUUAAUACUCUGCAAUUUUGACGUUACCGACAGAAUAAGCACCGGCUAACUCUGUGCCAGCAGCCGCAGUAAUAC
rnacentral:rRNA from 1 species